GUCUAUAGCCAUAACACUCUGAACAUGCCCUAUCUCAUCUGAUCUCGGAAGCUAAGCGGGGUGGGGCCUGGUUAAUACUUGGAUAGGAGAUAAAUAACAUUUCAAGAAACAAAAAAUG
rnacentral:rRNA from 1 species